rnacentral:rRNA from 1 species
AUUGAACGCUGGCGGCAGGCCUAACACAUGCAAGUCGAGCGGAUGAAGGGAGCUUGCUCCUGGAUUCAGCGGCGGACGGGUGAGUAAUGCCUAGGAACCUGCCUGGUAGUGGGGGAUAACGUCCGGAAACGGGCGCUAAUACCGCAUACGUCCUGAGGGAGAAAGUGGGGGAUCUUCGGACCUCACGCUAUCAGAUGAGCCUAGGUCGGAAUAGCUAGUUGGUGGGGUAAAGGCCUACCAAGGCGACGAUCCGUAACUGGUCUGAGAGGAUGAUCAGUCACACUGGAACUGAGACACGGUCCAGACUCCUACGGGAGGCAGCAGUGGGGAAUAUUGGACAAAGGGCGAAAGCCUGAUCCAGCCAUGCCGCGUGUGUGAAGAAGGUCUUCGGAUUGUAAAGCACUUUAAGUUGGGAGGAAGGGCAGUAAGUUAAUACCUUGCUGUUUUGACGUUACCAACAGAAUAAGCACCGGCUAACUUCGUG